CGAAAGCCUGACGGAGCAAGACCGCGUGGGGGAGGAAGGCUCUAGGGUUGUAAACCCCUUUUAUCUGGGAAGAACAAAAUGACGGUACCAGAUGAAUAAGCCUCGGCUAACUCCGUGCCAGCAGCCGCGGUAAUACGGAGGAUGCAAGCGUUAUCCGGAAUUAUUGGGCGUAAAGCGUCCGUAGGUGGUUAAUCAAGUCUGCUGUUAAAGAGCGGAGCUCAACUCCGUUUAAGCGGUGGAAACUGGUUGACUAGAGAGUGGUAGGGGUAGAGGGAAUUCCCAGUGUAGCGGUGAAAUGCGUAGAUAUUGGGAAGAACACCGGUGGCGAAAGCGCUCUACUGGGCCACAUCUGACACUGAUGGACGAAAGCUAGGGGAGCG
rnacentral:rRNA from 1 species